rnacentral:rRNA from 1 species
UACGAAGGGGGCGAGCGUUGUUCGGAUUUACUGGGCGUAAAGAGCGUGUAGGCGGCCAUGCAGGUCCGUUGUGAAAACUCGAGGCUCAACCUCGAGACGCCGAUGGAAACCGCAUGGCUAGAGUCCGGAAGAGGAGAGUGGAAUUCCUGGUGUAGCGGUGAAAUGCGCAGAUAUCAGGAGGAACACCGGUGGCGAAGGCGGGUCUCUGGGCCGAUACUGACGCUGAGGAGCGAAAGCGUGGGGAGCGAACAGG